rnacentral:misc_RNA from 1 species
UUUGCCCCGUCACACCAUGGGAGUGGGUUGCACCAGAAGUAGCUAGUCUAACCUUCGGGAGGACGGUUACCACGGUGUGAUUCAUGACUGGGGUGAAGUCGUAACAAGGUAGCCGUAGGGGAACCUGCGGCUGGAUCACCUCCUUAAUCGACGACAUCAGCUGCUCCAUAAGUUCCCACACGAAUUGCUUGAUUCAUUGAAGAAGACGAUAAGAAGCAGCCCGAAAUUGGGUCUGUAGCUCAGUUGGUUAGAGCGCACCCCUGAUAAGGGUGAGGUCGGCAGUUCGAAUCUGCCCAGACCCACCAAUUUUGUGUGGGAAACGCCUGUAGAAAUACGGGGCCAUAGCUCAGCUGGGAGAGCGCCUGCCUUGCACGCAGGAGGUCAACGGUUCGAUCCCGUUUGGCUCCACCACUACUGCUUCUGAAAGUUUUGAAAGCUUAGAAAUGAGCAUUCCACCAGAACGGUGAUGAAUGUUGAUUUCUAGUCUUUGAUUAGAUCGUUCUUUAAAAAUUUGGGUAUGUGAUAGAAAGAUAGACUGAACGUUACUUUCACUGGUAACGGAUCAGGCUAAGGUAAAAUUUGUGAGUUGCUCGUAAUUGAGUAUUAUCGAAUUUUCGGCGAAUGUCGUCUUCACAGUAUAACCAGAUUGCUUGGGGUUAUAUGGUCAAGUGAAGAAGCGCAUACGGUGGAUGCCUUGUC